rnacentral:rRNA from 1 species
UGAGGAAUAUUGGUCAAUGGGCGCGAGCCUGAACCAGCCAAGUCGCGUGAGGGAUGACGGCCCUACGGGUUGUAAACCUCUUUUGUCGGGGAGCAAAUUCCGCCACGUGUGGCGGAGUCGAGAGUACCCGAAGAAAAAGCAUCCGGCUAACUCCGUGCC